CGGAAGAGUACGACAGGUGCUGCAUGGCUGUCGUCAGCUCGUGUCGUGAGAUGUUGGGUUAAGUCCCGCAACGAGCGCAACCCUUAUCAUUAGUUGCUACGCAAGGGCACUCUAAUGAGACUGCCGGUGACAAACCGGAGGAAGUGGGGAUGACGUCAAAUCAUCAUGCCCCUUAUGACCUGGGCUACACACGUGCUACAAUGGUUGGUACAACGAGUUGCGAGUCGGUGACGGCGAGCUAAUCUCUUAAAGCCAAUCUCAGUUCGGAUUGUAGGCUGCAACUCGCCUACAUGAAGUCGGAAUCGCUAGUAAUCGCGGAUCAGCACGCCCGCGUCCGAUACGUUCCGGCCUU
rnacentral:rRNA from 1 species